CCUUUCUCCUGCUCUAGGCCCAGCGCCUUGGACGUGCACAGUAGAUCCCUCCCGGCUUCCCGGCUUCCCGUCUCGUCACCCUCUGAUGCUUUUCUCAAACUUUCCUGAUCCUGCAGGCAAGCUAAACCAGUUUUGGAAGAACCUGCGGGAGUCGCAGCAGCUCCGAUGGGAUGAGAGCUGGGUGCAGACUGUGCUCCCUUUGGUUAUGGACAUACAACUCCUGGGCCAGAGGCUAAAACCCCGGGACCCCUGCUGUCCUUCCCGCAGCUUCUUCUCGGAGUCUCAGGGCAAACCCUUUUGAGCAGCGCCUCCCAGUGGCCAGAAGCUGAAAUGACGGCAGUGGUGCCGCCUGGUGAAUGAAUUGGUUCUGUGACCCGGGAA
rnacentral:lncRNA from 1 species